UGACGUCACCGGGGCGGCCGCCGGGAGCCCGCGCACCGGGACCCACCGGGAACUCCCCGGGAGGAGUCCCGGGACAGCCGGGGGCAGCUCCGGGCUGAACCCCCGGCACGGCAGGGCCCCGCGCGGCUCCAGGGACCGCCGCGAUGCGCAGCGAGCAUCCCGGGAGAGCCGCGGGAAUGCCCCGGGCAGGGCAGCUGGAAGGGAGGCGCCGCAGGGAGCUGGCUCCUAGAAAGGCUGAGUGCUUGGAGUCAGAAAACUCACUGCUGUCACAUCCUACCUUGCCUUGGAGCUGGGCUCAGGCUUACAGUGAUUCCUGUUGCACACCCUUCCCAUCCCAGGUUGUGAUGGAACAAAUGGAAGUAUUUCCAGAUGACUUCCCAUGUGCAGCCUCUUCUGGAAGUCGGAGGAAAGCCACGAGGUGGCAAUGUGCACUAGGAAAUAAAGCUGGCACUUCUCAGGGAUCAGUCACUCAGCCCUGGAAUGCGGCUGGAUGGACACUUGGCCUUCCACAGGAGCUGCGGCAGGAUUUCCAGCACCUUUUCCACGUAAAAAAUGUACAUUUGUUUUCCCAGGACUUAUAAAAAAAGCUGUAGGGAUGAACAUCUCCUCCUCCUGCAUUGUUUCGUGCUGGUGGAUGUACUCAGCACGUCUAGGCAUCAUCACUCCGGGCUGAAUCAGACCUGUCUGAGCAUUCACCCUCCUGUCACAGAAGAAGCAAAGGAUGCAGCAAGGCUCAGAGUGAGAGGCUCCAGGUGUCAGCUGAGCAAAGUCAGGAUAAGCUGCAGUUAUUCCAGAGUACGUGUCCACGUGUGGAAUAUUCCGGAACAGGCCUCCUCCGCAUCAGUCAUCAGCUUCAAUUACCAGUUUUCCGGAGCCGAGCCAUCAGGCAGUCUGACACGAGGGUCCAACCUAAUUCCCACCUUCUCCAAAGUCAAGAGCAUAAUGUGCAGAUGAAAAGGUGGAAAAUAGCCUGGACUUCAUUAGCAUGCAGAGCCCGGCUGUUCAUUUGCUUGCUGCGAAUGGAAGUUCUGACACUCGGCGCCUUCUGCAAUAUGAGAAAAGUCCUCUUCAGAGUAUAUGAUGUCCUCACCAGCCAGCAAAGGUCAUCAAAAAGGCAGGCGCUGACCUUGCUCCCUGCUCUUCAUGACUAGUUUAUUGAUUCCAGGAACACCUCAUUACAUGCCGGAUCAACAUAUUAUUGCCAUGUUCAGCGGCUGAAUUGUUUACAAGUGUCUUUAUAACCAGCAGAAAGCCUUCCGGAUGAUGCAUGACUACACUCAUUUGGAUGUGACCUGCCAAUUAGAUGUUAUCCGAUCUGGUGCCGUGUGUCCUGAUCCCUGACCGGGCCCGCUGCCCUGCAUCAGCACGGGCCCAUUUACUACUUCUUUCGAACGGCUCUUUGGCAAAGUGUCCAUUAGCCUGUCAGUCUGUAAAUAUUUUAUUUUUUUACCUCGGCGGAGCGGUGGAGGCGCCGCCGGCGCUCCCGCUCUGUCAUUUGCUAUGCAUGAAGUUGAUAAUCAGCUGGGGGAGGCAAGGGGGUGUUUUAUGGCAGCGUCUGAUGGCCCACCCCAUUUGCAGUCAGCGUGCGUGGCCCGCGCUCCCGCGCCGCGUGCCACCCCGCCACAGGGACCCGGCAUAUUUUAUUCCGACGCCGCGAGACUGCUGAUUUAUCGGUGGGGGGAAGGCAGGAGCGAAACCCCCUCCCCGUGCUCAGCCUCCCCGUGCCCUGCCUCCAAAGGCCCCAUAACUUACCACCCAGCAAAUGCCUUCCCCCUUCUCCAUCUUUCCGGCGCUUUGUGUUCUCCCUCGUUAAUAUAUUGCGCUGCGUUAUUUAUCCCGGCCCGCAGCCUGGGGUAUUUACACGCGCGGAGACGCGAGAACUUCAAAAAUAAAUCACGGGGCAUGACUACUAUUUUAAUCUCUCAUUAAAGACACUUCUGUGGCUCCAUAAAGAAAAGAGUGGCACGGCAGCUGGACGAGCGAGUCCGUAAAGAGAGAUCUUCUGUGCCAAAAAGCGGUGCUGGGAUCGUGGCUUACGGGCACCAGAAAUCUGCACAGGCUGGGGUUUGGAUUUUUCCACCUCAGCCUUUGGUGGUGCUAGGGUAGCUGAGAUGCCAAAGAAAACUCCGUGCGGCCGUGGAUGUGGCUGAUGAGGCAGUGCCAGGAUGUCCAGGGGGGCUGUGGCCUAGCUGGAAUAUGAUAAAAUGUUCGCACACAUGGCACUCUCUGCCCAGAGCUCUGCAAACAUUAAUCAAGUUCCCCAGCACCCCUUGGCAAGUGUCACUGCUGAAAUCCCCUUGCUGGGGUUAAACCCAGGGACCAGAAGGGCUAAAGGGCUCCCAGUGUGAACCCACAGCCCCAGAAACGCCACAUCUCCAGCAUCCUGCUCUCCAGAGCCAGCAUUGCAUCUCCCCAAUCCCAAAACCCACCGUGCCAGGUCCUGGGCUGCCAAACCACAGGAAUGUGACAGGAGGGGGGAUGCCCGUGCUGGGUGACAGAAGACAAUUCCCUCCUUACAACAUGAAGCGUUGGGAAUUGGGGGCUGGAAAAAAGGGGGAUUUGAAUUCCUUAAAACAGCACAAUUAGCUUCCAAAAUAAAAACUAGAAUGUGUUUGUUUAAUUAAAGCUGAGGCAAAACACACACUCAGGUCAAACCAGCCUCAGGCUCCAGAGACAGCACAGUGCAUUGAUCUGAAUUUUGGAAAGGAGUGGAAAAAGCUUCCAUUUCCCAGCAAAUCCCUGGCUCUGGGCAGCCCUGGAGCUGCCGGUGUUGAAUAUUCAGAGGGCUGAUUCCCCACGGUGAGCUCGGAGCUGGCGCUGCAGCCAGGUAACAGGAAUGGAGCCUGGGAGCUCCAAAUCCCAAAUGUGGGAUUUCCAACGGGGCACAGGGAUCUCCCUCCCACGGGGGAGGUACCAGGUCUGGCCGGUCCCACGGUCCCAGUGGGGGAUCUGGCCUUAUUUUGGCUGUGUUAAGCCUGCAGUGGUUUAUCAAGCCCCAGACAUCCCUCCAAAUUUGGCACCUCAUCCCUUCCCUUCUGUUUGUGUCCCUGUUACUGGAUUUCUGUUUAUGAUGUAAAUUCUCCUUUUAAAUGGGAGAAAAAAAUCAGCUCUUUAUGACAGCAGACAUGAAAGUUGUAUGACUAUGGAAAAGUGCAUUAACCUUGCCUUUAGCUUGGAGAACUUAAUAAUCUUUUAAAAUCAACUUUUUAUUAAUUUUGGAAUGAUGCCUAAUGCCUGAGGGGAGUGAGGAGCAGUGGCAUCACCAGUGGAGAUCUUUGCCACUCUAACUUAAGGUCAGGCUUGCAAGUGCUGCAGGAACCACGGCCCGUGCAGAUAUGGAAUCAUGGAAUUGUGAAGGUUGGAAAAGCCCUCUAAGAUCACUGAGUCCAAGCAUUCCUCCAGCACUGCCAAGGCCACCACUAAACAGUGUCCCCAGGUGCCACACCCACACAUCUUUUAAACCCCUCCAGGGAUGGGGACUCAACCACUGCCCAGCUCCAGGGCAGGAGCAGCCUGGUGGUGCUUGGCCAGCCUGGAGCUGGACCUCUGCAUCCAUGUGGGUAAGGAGGAAGGAGCCACCUCAGUUUUAUUGUAAGAUUGAGUUUCCCUGGGAGAAAAUCAGGAUGUCCUUCCUGGGCUGAAAUUUGAAUUUAGCAGGGCAACUGUCAGCCGUUCUUCCUUGGAGACUGGGGCAAGGAGACAGCCAGGAGAACCCAGCCCCUUUCCAGGGGGUUGUGCAGGGAAGGAAGCAGCUGAAGGGCUGUAAAUGCUGCACCCAGCGAGAGCAGUUCAUGGGGCCACUGACCUCACAUGGAUCCACCUGGAGCCCGGAGCUGGGGAAUGGAGCCCGGCCCCGCGGCACGUGUGAGCCUCUCCGGGUGGUGGGCACACACUGGGCAGGGUGAUCCCUUUUUAAUUACUACUAAUAACUUCUUUCACAUAUCGUUCUUGACGGGAUUUUGUUGCAGAGGGCUGCUGGUAUUUUAGGGAUACGCAGGGCGAAUCUCAGUCGGUGCAGCCAAAUCCCUGGGCCGGGGCUCCGAAGCCGCCGGCACGGCCCUCGCCGAGUGUUUCCAAACUGAAUAGUCAUUGGUUUGGCAGAUAAUUCAGAAACUAUUUGUAUGAGCUGUUUAUCAAAUUAUUAACUGCACAGAUGUUGUUUGGAUGAAGAGCAGCUGAACCUUCUCUCUGCCAGCCGGGGAGACAAAGGUCUGCAGGAAUAAUUGGAGAUGUGCAUGGAAUAUUAAAUUAAUUUACUGCUCUUAAUUCUUAUGCAAAUCCUGACCUCUGAUAGAGCCUAUCAAUUACCCUGCACACAGGGAAAAGAAAGGAGAACAGUUUCUUUCUUUUCUUUCCCCCCCUCUCCUUUUUUUCCUGUUGUUCCCCAGUUUGGGGUUUUGUUUCUUUGUUGUUGUUGGUUUUUUUUUCCUUUUGAAAGGGAACUUGGGAAAGGAAAUAUUUGUGGGAAGAAAAAAAGCCAUUUAUUUGUGGUGCAAAGGGCCAGGAUUAUUUAAUUGAAUGUCCCGGUUGCAGCGAUGUCCCCUGGGAGACGGGGUGCAGUUUUUAACACUGUGGGGUGCUCAGGGGAGGCCUGGGAAUGUAGGCCAGAGCCAGGCUGGAAUAGCUCCACAUGCUUCCCCAGGAGGGGCCCCACUCUGCCAGCACUGUGGUGGGCUGAAGUGGGAGAGGACUGGAGGCCCGGGCUGAUCCCAGCUGGGUUUUGGUGGGGUUGGGGGCCGGAAGGGGCCCCUGGCUCUGCUGGAAUCCAGCCGGAGUUCAGGUGGGUUAUCAGGGAGGGCUCCCUGCCCCGAUAGCGGGGCUGAUUCUGCCAGUAAUUACCAGGGAAGAAGAAAAGGAAUUUGUUGUGAGAUCCCAGGUAAAAUGAAGCAGGAUUUAAUUGGUCCUCGUUAAACAGAGCUGGGUUUCCAAUAUGGAGAAAGGCCUUGUCCGGGCAGUGUUUAAUUGGGGCUGCGUGUGCGCUGCUCAGCCGGUGCUUAAAGGCAGGCGCCGGGCCCUGCUCUUUCAUCCCAUUUUCUAAUAAGGAUAAAUAAACAGGAUGAAUAAUGCCAUCAGUCUCUCCCUCGACCCCUGCGAGACCCCAGCAGUGCAGAGCUGUUCACCCUAGGGCUGCUCCCUGGAAUCCAAGGCGAGCAGGAUCCCUUGGCACGGAGCACCCGAUGCGGCACCGAUGGGCUCCGUUAGCAGAACCCCCAGGUCCAGCUACGGAGCAGUUUGUGGAAUUCCUUGGUUAGUGACUGUCACAGGGGAGCCUGAGGAGGGGAUGGGGCUCAGGAGGGGAAAGGAGGGAGAAAAGAAUGGAAAAUAAAAUUAGGUCUUUCCUUUCUAUUUUACCUUUUUUACUUUUUUCCCCCCGUAAAUCCUGGGAAGUGCUGGGAGACUGCACUCCCCCUCCCACGACGCCCACUCGGGUAAUUUCAUUUAUCCCGCAAAUCUAAUUAGCAAUCCGUGGCUGACAUUAAUACAGAUCUAAUGAGGCCAGUGAUGACCAGAUUAUCAGGCGAGUGCUGACAGAGCCUUAAAGGCACAUGGAGCCCUGCAGUCAGUGGGACCCGGCAGGGGAAAAACUGCUUUAAAGGGGGAGAAGGAGAAGAAAAAGAAAAAAAAAAAAAGAAAGAAGGAAAGAAAGAAAAAAAAAAAUAGACGAGGGAGGGGGAGAAAAACAUGAGGAAAAGCAGUGCGGGUAGGGCUUGGCUGCUUAGCUUAUUAAGGGAGCUGGAGCUUUGCUGGACACAGUUUAUCCACCAGCAUCGGGCCUCUGUCUCUGCUUCUCCUGAAAUACCGUUCUGCAGAGGAGAAAAAGGAGGGGGGGAAAUAAGGGGGAAAAAAAUAAGAAGAAACUGGAGCCCAAGGAGUCGCUGUGCAAUUUAUUCCAAGGGGUGGCUGUUGAGAAGGCGGCAAUUUGCGGCGGCCGGGGGUUAUUUAGUGCGAUAUGAAAUCAAAUGAUCCUAUUGCUCAAAUAACAGUGUCUGGGAGGAGAAGCGAGCGCGCUCCAAAGGUAAUUGUCUCCAGAUGAUAUUCCUAUUAUCCCCCAAUCCCGGCCUAAACGCUGCCAGCGCCGGACUGGAAUCGAUACGGGGGGAGGACCGGGGGGAUCCCGGGGCCGGGGGGAGACAUCCCCGGCACUGAACCCCCUCUGGAAGGACAGCAGAGCUUCGGGAAGAUCCUAAAUUCCCCGUGGCUGCUGCCUGUCCGUGCCUCGGCGGGAGCGGCAACACCGGCGGCGGAGCCGAGCCCGGAGCCCAGGUAAGGGACCUACGGGGGGACGCGGAGUGGGAACCCGGGCCCUUCCGAGCCCCGGCGGGCAGCCGCUCUCCGAGCGGACCCCUCUGCAUCGCUUCACCCCAGCCCAGGCUGUCGGGUCCGGUGCGACCUCCCGCGGCCCCGGUGCAGCCCCGCCGUGCUCGGUCAGCCGCUGCCUGCGGUCACUGCCGCCUGCGGUCACCGAUGCCUGCGGUCGGUCCCGUUUGCCCGGAGCCGCUGGAAGCGCAGCGGGACCGGGGGCGGUUUCGCUCUGGAUCCCAGGCUAGCGGAUGGAGAGGCGGCCCCCGCUCUCCGCGGCGCUGCCCGAUGGUAAAAUCGCCGGAAUUCAAUGGCUUGAGGGAGACGGCGGGGGAAAAUUGAAGGGGACGGAAGGCGGUGAGGGGGAGACGGGAGCGAACCAGCGGCACCUACCUGGGCGGGGGUCCCCGUGGCCGGGCUCCCUCCGUGGCCGCUUCGGCAGCGGAGACCGAACGCUCCGGGUGCGGCAGCCCAAGGCGAGCGGCGGCCCCGCAGCCGCUCCCCAAAUUCCAUCGGGGCGUCCCCCGCGCCGCCCGUGGGGUGGCUGGGAUCCCGCCUCGGAGCUGCGGGUACUGGGACGGGGCUUUUUCCUUUCCGUCUUUCUUUUGUCAGCCUUUCGCCCGGGCGGGCAGCGCGUCCCCGGCGCUUCGGGCAUAGAGAACAAACGCUCUCCUCCUGAAAAAAAAAAAAAAAAAAAAAAAAAAAAAAGCGAGUAUUGAGGGAGCGAGACUCCGGGCUGGGGCGCUCAGGAGUGUCCCAGCUGGGACAGCUCUGUGCUCCCGGGGGCCAGGGUUUGUGCCCUGGACCCCUAACAGCGGGAGGUGGCUGUGCUGAACUAGCGGGGACACUGCGGGGAGCCGCAGGAGGAGAAUGCUCGGUGUCAGGCGCCUCUCUCGGGUCAGGUCCUGAUGAGAACAGGGCACAGGUCACCCCCGAGUCGCCAGGAGAGGCUGGUGUGGUUUGUGUGUCUGCAAACGGGCAAAGCAUUUGGAACCUGAAGCCUGGAAGUGAGCCCCAGCCUUUGCCCACCUGUGUGUCCACUGCAUGCUGCCUCGCAGGUAUGUUAGAACGUGGUUUUCAGCACUGUCAAAAUGUGCUGUUGGAGGAUUUUUCCAUCUCUGCUCAAGCCUCUUUGUCAGCUUCAGCCUCAGGUUCCUAUUUCUGUUUGGUGUGUUUUGAAUGGAGUGCAGGGCCCAGGGGUGCUGAGCUCCGAGCAGACACAGCUUAAUUAAUUGAAUAGUCCCGUGCUUGCUCUCCCGCUUUUUACAAACAAAUGAACAGUUGAUAUGUGUGGCUCCUUUCAUUCACCACCAGAACAAUCCGCUGCACAGGACAGGGGGAAAAUUCCUAAUCAGUCACAGCAAACCAGCACGGUGGUUUAGGGUGGGAAGUGAAAAAUACCAUGUCCACUGAAACCUGGAUUUCACAGCACUGGAGGAUUGGGAGAGGCAGGGUGCAGGACUCGCCCCAGGUGGGACCUGGGCUGGCUGCACAGGCAGUGCUUCCUCAAAGCACUCCCAGGUCCGGGCACUCAGCUCCAGACCUCUGGUAGAAGUGAGACUGGAACAGAGGCAGCAGCCAAGCCGUGCCCAGACAGGAGCUUGGGGGUUCCCUACGGCGCGAGCUCGGAGCUCCACGCUUGCUCUCCUCCUGCACGGCCCUUUUGCUGAUCCGCUCGCUUUUAUUUCCCAGAGUUGCUGCUGGCCCGCAGGUGUUCCUGCUGAGACACAGACGUGGUGGUGGGCAGUGUUUGAAUGCUGGGCUGUGAGGAGACCAGAGAUCCUCCAGGGACCCCGUGUUUGUCUGUGUGUCUGUCCCAAGAGCUGCACCCCGCUGCCCGUGCUGUCAGAUCCCGGUUCCUGGCCCCACACACCACACGGCUCGCCCAAGUGCCUCCCUUUGUUUCAAACUCUUGGAGCCUGGAGCACUUGUUGAACCUGACCACGAGUUCAUCAAAGUGGCUGACAAUUAGGAAAUAAACAAAUAGCAUUUGAGGCAUUUUUGGGCGGAAUCCAGUCAUACAUAGAUGGGCUUGUUGCUGUUGUUGUCAUAUUGAAUAUUCCUCAUAGUUGGGAUAUUUGUGCUGUGCAGCAGCGUCCCCGGCACGGCAAACAUUGCAUUCUCUCUCUGUGCAAAGGCUUCAUUAAUCAAACCAGACAAUGGGCCAGACACAUCCCUUUGAGCCUGGUGCUGGGAUCCUCUGGGCUUUUCACCUUAUCCAAACGCUUCAUCCCUGUCAAUGCAGGCAGCAGCUCUUCAAAACCAAUCCCUCUGAGCUAUGGGACUGACAGGAAAAUUCAGUUAAAAGAAUUCCCCAGUUAUUUUAUAUUUUCCCUUUAUUUUUCAUGACUUGUGGAAGCUAAACUUUUUCAGUCUUUUUGUCUGUACAUGAGAUCAAUCCAGUCAUUUGUUAAAACACUAAUGAAAUUGCCUGAUAGAUCUGUGUCCUUUAAAGCAGCAGCAGCAGCAGCAGUAGCAAGCACUGAGAUCGAGCAGGAUGGAGUGGCCUGGCCAAGCCGUGACCCCGCUGGCAGGAGCUGCAGAGUGGACAGCAGAGGGAACACAGCUUGGUGGUGAAGGUGCUGUUCUCCUGAAAGAGGAUCCUGGCAAAAACAUGGCUUGGUGCAGGGAAUGGCACGCUGAAGGCAAGUCAGCAGCAGACACUUGAAUGAAGACUCCUCGUGUUUACAGCCUGGUGGCACAAGUGACUGAGACCCGAAACCUCCCUGACAUGCUCUCUGGAUGCUUGGCCUUGGAACAGCCUCAUUCGUGCCACACCUGCUCCCUUCCGCUCGUGGAGCCUUCUAUGCUGCACUGGACACUGUAAAAGCACUUGGAGAUGGCUGGAGAAAGAAGGGGGCUUCCUGGAAAAUGGUCUCCAAACCAGCCCUUCCCUGUGCCGUGGCUUUUCUGAGGCUCGUUAAUAUCAGUGGUUCCUGCUGGAGGAACUCUGUCACCUUCCCCGAGGCAGCAGAUCUGAGGCCAGACGUGGUGUGUGCUGCUUGUGCAUCAGACACAAGUAAUAACAAGUUUCGAGGAACUGUACCACUUAAUAAAAGCAUUUUAUUACAUUUAAAUGUAUUAAAA